GACCGUCAUCAGACCCACGAAAGGUAAAAGCCCAUUACAACUAGUAUAAAUAAAGGUCUCAGGUAGAUUUCAAACCACGUUGCACUUUAUGCACACCACAUACAUCACUUAUAGUGAUAACCGUUAGAUCAUUUUUACUGACUUGAGCAUCGGAGUGCCUUUAACAGGUACCUGUCCGCUCGGGUUGGAGAAGGAGGAGGGAGAACAAACCAGGUGUCACCUCACCCACUUGGAGAAGAAGGAGGAAAAACGAACAACUUAGAGUAUGUAAAAGACCAAGGUGACCUUCCGGCCUUCAACGAGUCUGUCACUUAAACAACCGUCCAGCCUCUAAACAGCCCGUCCAGUCUUCAAGGUCUGUUCGAUUUCAGACACAACAAGGAGAGUUCACCGAGUCGUCAACCUAGAACACUUUGAUUAGCGCUUGUCCGAUCUACAAAGCAACAUGGAGUAUUUUGCGCAAGGGUCUCCUAAACCUC
rnacentral:lncRNA from 1 species